rnacentral:ncRNA from 2 species
AAUGUUUAUGCGGGAGAGGCCGGGUGAAAGGAUCCUGGCGCCGAAGGAGCAACCGCCCCGGAAACUCUCAGGCAGAAGGACCGCAUGAACUGC